CUGAGCUUUACACAUAGUGUAACACAUAAUGAUGUGUUUGGAAUAUGCAAAAUGUGGCUGCAAUUAAAAUACUAUUUGCAAUACAUGACAUUGUAUAUGUUUGGUUACCUACAUGUGGCUACUAUACCAACGAUUUUGAAAAGAGCCACCAAUGCAAAACAGUUAUGACAGAUUUUUUUCUUUUAUCAGAAUUCAGACACAUCUGUCAAAAACAGGGCAGGCUCUUCAAAUUAAUUUCUAAGAAUAUAUUGUACUUAUGUUGUGACAGGAUGUGCUUUCCGUGACAAUCCCAACCAUCUCCAAAUGCUUAAUUUG